rnacentral:rRNA from 1 species
UAACCGGCGAUUUCCGAAUGGGGAAACCCAGUGUGUUUCGACACACUAUCAUUAACUGAAUCCAUAGGUUAAUGAGGCGAACCGGGGGAACUGAAACAUCUAAGUACCCCGAGGAAAAGAAAUCAACCGAGAUUCCCCCAGUAGCGGCGAGCGAACGGGGAGCAGCCCAGAGCCUGAAUCAGUGUGUGUGUUAGUGGAAGCGUCUGGAAAGGCGCGCGAUACAGGGUGACAGCCCCGUACACAAAAAUGCACAUGCUGUGAGCUCGAUGAGUAGGGCGGGACACGUGGUAUCCUGUCUGAAUAUGGGGGGACCAUCCUCCAAGGCUAAAUACUCCUGACUGACCGAUAGUGAACCAGUACCGUGAGGGAAAGGCGAAAAGAACCCCGGCGAGGGGAGUGAAAAAGAACCUGAAACCGUGUACGUACAAGCAGUGGGAGCACGCUUAGGCGUGUGACUGCGUACCUUUUGUAUAAUGGGUCAGCGACUUAUAUUCUGUAGCAAGGUUAACCGAAUAGGGGAGCCGAAGGGAAACCGAGUCUUAACUGGGCGUUAAGUUGCAGGGUAUAGACCCGAAACCCGGUGAUCUAGCCAUGGGCAGGUUGAAGGUUGGGUAACACUAACUGGAGGACCGAACCGACUAAUGUUGAAAAAUUAGCGGAUGACUUGUGGCUGGGGGUGAAAGGCCAAUCAAACCGGGAGAUAGCUGGUUCUCCCCGAAAGCUAUUUAGGUAGCGCCUCGUGAAUUCAUCUCCGGGGGUAGAGCACUGUUUCGGCAAGGGGGUCAUCCCGACUUACCAACCCGAUGCAAACUGCGAAUACCGGAGAAUGUUAUCACGGGAGACACACGGCGGGUGCUAACGUCCGUCGUGAAGAGGGAAACAACCCAGACCGCCAGCUAAGGUCCCAAAGUCAUGGUUAAGUGGGAAACGAUGUGGGAAGGCCCAGACAGCCAGGAUGUUGGCUUAGAAGCAGCCAUCAUUUAAAGAAAGCGUAAUAGCUCACUGGUCGAGUCGGCCUGCGCGGAAGAUGUAACGGGGCUAAACCAUG